rnacentral:rRNA from 1 species
AGGAUAAACGCUGGCGGCGUGCCUAACACAUGCAAGUCGAACGUCCUACGCAAGUAGGGAGUGGCGGACGGGUGAGUAACACGUGGGCAAUCUACCUUUCGGUGAGGAAUACCGGCGAGAAAUCGCCGACAAUACCGCAUACGCUUCGCAAGAAGCAAAGUCGCAAGACGCCGGAGGAGGAGCCUGCGCCCGAUUAGCUGGUUGGUGAGGUAAGAGCUCACCAAGGCGACGAUCGGUAGCUGGUCUGAGAGGAUGAUCAGCCACACUGGGAUUGAGAACGGCCCAGACUCCUACGGGGGGCAGCAGUGAGGAAUUUUCGUCAAUGGGGGGCAACCCUGAACGAGCAACGCCGCGUGGAGGAUGAAGGUCUUCGGAUUGUAAACUCCUGUCAUUAGGGAACAAUUGCCAGCGAUUAACUGUCGCGGGCUUGAUAGUACCUGAAGAGGAAGAGACGGCUAACUCUGUGCCAGCAGCCGC